rnacentral:rRNA from 1 species
GGUUGCGAUCAUACCAGCACUAAUGCACCGGAUCCCAUCAGAACUCCGCAGUUAAGCGUGCUUCGGCGAGAGUAGUACUAGGAUGGGUGACCCCCUGGGAAGUCCUCGUGUUGCAACCC